GGGGCGGUCAGGCUGCGCAGAGAGGCUACAGCGGCAGAGGGAGCACGUCUCAGUGACCUGAAUUAAUCUAAUGAGACUUUAUUUGGCUUAAAUAUUAGCUCAGGGCAGCUUUUUAAAGCACGUGAGGAAGACAGCAAAAGGCUAUUUAAGCAGAGAAGAUAUUAAAGUUGCUCUAGUAAUGUUUUUUUGUUAGAAACCCUCAAAGGUGUAUACUUUUUCAUCUAUGUUCUGAAGAUCCAGAUGUCUCACAGAAUACCUACAGAUUCUAAAGUAAUCUUCUUAUCUGCAGAUAUUUAUUUCAGAAGAAAAUAAUCAAACCCCUGCUUCUCCUGCUGCAGAGGGUGAUGAGGAGAAGGAUGUACUCUAUUUCAUAUGUGUACAAGACAUGAAAUAAAUGACUCACUGAGCUUGUUA